UUUUAUAUUGAUGGCACAUUUGAUGCUGCACCAAGCUUUGGUGGACAAUGUCAGCAAUUAUUCGUCAUUAUGGGCAUUAGUUAUGAUGUUGGGUUUCCAUUGGUUUACGCUUUAAUGUCCAGAAAAACAGAGCAGGCAUACAAUGCUCUUUUUAUGUAUAUUAAAACAAUUGAGCCCACUUGGCAACCACAAACAAUUAUGAUGGAUUUUGAGCGUGCAUCCAUCAAUGCCAUCAGGUCGCAAUUUCCGAGGACCAGAAUUGUUGGUUGUUGGUUCCAUUCCUCCCAAAGUUUGUGGCGAAAAAUCCAGGAAUUAGGGUUAACUCGUUUAUACAAAAUCAAUAGAAAAGUAUAUGACUUUUUUCGUAUGGCGAUGGCAAUAGCAUUAUUACCGCCAGAAAAUGCAAGGGAAGGCUUUAUGGAAUUGGAAAUUUUUUUCCAAAACAAUAUUUAUAAUACUGUUGAACCAGAUAUAAGUUUGAAGUUUUUCCAAUUCCUACAUUAUUUUAAUAAGACUUGGUUAACAGGUAAUUUGAUUAUGUAAACAGAUAAAAAUUUAUUAUAAUUUAAUUUUUUCUCUAAUACUACGAGUAUGAGUAUAACUGAGUGAGGAUCAAAAUUAUAAUAAAAUUAAACUUUUUUAUGAGUUUUAGCCAGCUGUUUUUUUUUUCAAUGUUAAUAGUUAAUACUAAUAAAACUACUUUAAUAGGCUUAUUUUCUGAACUAUUGUCUGUAACAGACUUGAACCGCCGUACAAAUAAUGUAUUAGAAAUAAGCCAUAGGAAUCUUAUGACUAAUAUAAAUAUUCCAAACCCAAACCCAUGGCUAUUUAUAGGUAAAGUAUGAACAAGAUUAAUUUUAAUAAUCAAUUGUCAGGUUUAAUUUUUUUGAUAUAUUUUUCAGUUACGCCCGGUUACGGUCUUGUAUUUCCUACUUAAACAAAUGUUUUUAUUUCAGAAAUGCUUAUUAGAUAUACGAGUGGCAUAAUCAAUGAUUACCGGUUAGCAAGUGAUGGGAUAGAAAUAAGGCAACCAAGACCACGUGUAUGGAUAGCACAAGAUAAAAAAAUAAAAACCGGACUAACCAAGUUGAGAAACAACAGAUUUUCAGUGGCCGAAUUUUUGGGCUACUGUAAACACAGUACACCAAAUUUUGGAAUAAACCGACCCAAUGAAGAGCAACAAGUUGAUGAUGAUGAUGAUGUGAAUAAUAUUGC
rnacentral:misc_RNA from 1 species